rnacentral:rRNA from 1 species
UACGUAGGCAGCAAGCGUUGUUCGGAGUUACUGGGCGUAAAGAGUGCGUAGGCGGUGCUCUAAGUUUGGUGUGAAAUCUCCCGCUUAACUGGGAGGGUGCGCCGAAAACUGGAGUGCUUGAGUGUGGGAGAGGCAAGCGGAAUUCCUGGUGUAGCGGUGAAAUGCGUAGAUAUCAGGAGGAACACCUGCGGUGUAGACAGCUUGCUGGACCAUAAACUGACGCUGGAGGCACGAAAGCGUGGGUAGCAAACAGG